rnacentral:rRNA from 1 species
UGGCUCAGAUUGAACGCUGGCGGCAGGCCUAACACAUGCAAGUCGAGCGGUAGAGAGAAGCUUGCUUCUCUUGAGAGCGGCGGACGGGUGAGUAAUACCUGGGAAUCUGCCUGAUAGUGGGGGAUAACGUUCGGAAACGGACGCUAAUACCGCAUACGUCCUACGGGAGAAAGCAGGGGAUCUUCGGACCUUGCGCUAUCAGAUGAGCCCAGGUCGGAUUAGCUUGUUGGUGAGGUAACGGCUCACCAAGGCUGCGAUCCGUAACUGGUCUGAGAGGAUGAUCAGUCACACUGGAACUGAGACACGGUCCAGACUCCUACGGGAGGCAGCAGUGGGGAAUAUUGGACAAUGGGGGAAACCCUGAUCCAGCCAUGCCGCGUGUGUGAAGAAGGUCUUCGGAUUGUAAAGCACUUUAAGUUGGGAGGAAGGGCUGAUGCUUAAUACGUAUCAGUCUUGACGUUACCGACAGAAUAAGCACCGGCUAACUCUGUGCCAGCAGCCGCGGUAAUACAGAGGGUGCAAGCGUUAAUCGGAAUUACUGGGCGUAAAGCGCGCGUAGGUGGCUAAGUAAGAUGGGUGUGAAAUCCCCGGGCUCAACCUGGGAACUGCAUCCAUAACUGCUUAGCUAGAGUACGGUAGAGGGUAGUGGAAUUUCCUGUGUAGCGGUGAAAUGCGUAGAUAUAGGAAGGAACACCAGUGGCGAAGGCGACUACCUGGACUGAUACUGACACUGAGGUGCGAAAGCGUGGGGAGCAAACAGGAUUAGAUACCCUGGUAGUCCACGCCGUAAACGA